rnacentral:rRNA from 1 species
UACGGAGGGUGCAAGCGUUGUUCGGAAUUACUGGGCGUAAAGCGCGCGUAGGCGGUUUUUUCAGUCUGGUGUGAAAUCCCGGGGCUCACCCCCGGAAGUGCAUUGGAUACUGGGAGACUUGAGUACCGGAGAGGAGGGUGGAAUUCCUGGUGUAGCGGUGAAAUGCGUAGAUAUCAGGAGGAACACCGGUGGCGAAGGCGGCCCUCUGGACGGAUACUGACGCUGAGGCGCGAAAGCGUGGGGAGCAAACAGG